rnacentral:rRNA from 1 species
GAUGAACGCUAGCUACAGGCUUAACACAUGCAAGUCGAGGGGCAGCAUGGUCUUAGCUUGCUAAGACUGAUGGCGACCGGCGCACGGGUGAGUAACACGUAUCCAACCUGCCGUCUACUCUUGGACAGCCUUCUGAAAGGAAGAUUAAUACAAGAUGGCAUCAUGAGUCCGCAUGUUCACAUGAUUAAAGGUAUUCCGGUAGACGAUGGGGAUGCGUUCCAUUAGAUAGUAGGCGGGGUAACGGCCCACCUAGUCUUCGAUGGAUAGGGGUUCUGAGAGGAAGGUCCCCCACAUUGGAACUGAGACACGGUCCAAACUCCUACGGGAGGCAGCAGUGAGGAAUAUUGGUCAAUGGGCGAGAGCCUGAACCAGCCAAGUAGCGUGAAGGAUGACUGCCCUAUGGGUUGUAAACUUCUUUUAUAAAGGAAUAAAGUCGGGUAUGUAUACCCGUUUGCAUGUACUUUAUGAAUAAGGAUCGGCUAACUCCGUGCCAGCAGCCGCGGUAAUACGGAGGAUCCGAGCGUUAUCCGGAUUUAUUGGGUUUAAAGGGAGCGUAGAUGGAUGUUUAAGUCAGUUGUGAAAGUUUGCGGCUCAACCGUAAAAUUGCAGUUGAUACUGGAUAUCUUGAGUGCAGUUGAGGCAGGCGGAAUUCGUGGUGUAGCGGUGAAAUGCUUAGAUAUCACGAAGAACUCCGAUUGCGAAGGCAG